rnacentral:rRNA from 1 species
UACGGGGGGGGCAAGCGGUUGUUCGGAAUUACUGGGCGUAAAGGGCUCGUAGGCGGCCAACUAAGUCAGACGUGAAAUCCCUCGGCUUAACCGGGGAACUGCGUCUGAUACUGGAUGGCUUGAGUUUGGGAGAGGGAUGGCGGAAUUCCAGGUGUAGCGGUGAAAUGCGUAGAUAUCUGGAGGAACACCGGUGGCGAAGGCGGCGAUCCUGGACCAACACUGGACGCUGAGGAGCGAAAGCCAGGGGGAGCAAAACGGGGG